UUGCUUCAGCAGUAUAUGUACCACAACUGGAACAAUACAGAGAAGAUAAGCAUGGCCCCUUCAUCAGGAUGGCAUGAAAAUUAUGAAGGGACCGUAUUUUUU